rnacentral:rRNA from 1 species
GGGGCCCGCACAAGCGGUGGAGUAUGUGGUUUAAUUCGAUGCAACGCGAAGAACCUUACCUGGUCUUGACAUCCCGGAGACCCUUAGGAAACUAGGGGGUGCUUCCAUCUGGAAGAAUCUGGAGACAGGUGCUGCAUGGCUGUCGUCAGCUCGUGUCGUGAGAUGUUGGGUUAAGUCCCGCAACGAGCGCAACCCUUGCCUUUAGUUGCCAGCAGUUCGGCUGGGCACUCUAAAGGGACUGCCGGUGUUAAACCGGAGGAAGGUGGGGAUGACGUCAAGUCCUCAUGGCCUUUAUGACCAGGGCUACACACGUACUACAAUGGCCGAUACAAAGGGCAGCGACACUGCGAGGUGAAGCCAAUCCCGUAAAAUCGGUCUCAGUCCGGAUUGGAGUCUGCAACUCGACUCCAUGAAGUUGGAAUCGCUAGUAAUCGUGGAUCAGCAUGCCAACGGUAGAAUACGUUCCGGGCCUU